rnacentral:rRNA from 1 species
UACAGAGGUCCCAAGCGUUGUUCGGAAUCACUGGGCGUAAAGCGCACGUAGGCGGAUUGCUAAGUCAGGGGUGAAAUCCUGGAGCUCAACUCCAGAACUGCCUUUGAUACUGGCGACCUUGAGUCCGGGAGAGGUGAGUGGAACUGCGAGUGUAGAGGUGAAAUUCGUAGAUAUUCGCAAGAACACCAGUGGCGAAGGCGGCUCACUGGCCCGGUACUGACGCUGAGGCACGAAAGCGUGGGGAGCAAACAGG